rnacentral:lncRNA from 1 species
CCAAGGUGGGGUAGGGGCUCUGGGUCCCAUAUGGAGGGGAUGGCAGCUCUUGGGGCUACCCGCUAUCUCCUUCCCACCUGACUGUGCCUUGAGUGGCCCCUACCCCGUGGGGCCCGCAGGGCUGGGGCCUGACGGCCUGUGGCUCUGUGCCCCCCAGAACGAGUGCCAGCACUACCACGCCAAGGCCAAGAAACACGCCAAGAGAGGCAGGAAGCACCACCGGAAGCGUUCGCAGUCGAUCUCAGCUCCCGCAAGGCCAGGAAACAGAAGAAGAAAAGCAAGAAGAGGAGGCACAAAUCGAACAGCCCCCAGAGCGAGGGCGAGCGGGGCAGGAAGGGGAAGGAGAAGGAGCCGGAGCGGGCAGAGGGCCGACGGCGCUCCCCCCAGCGCAGCCUCAAGAGGGAGAAGAGCGUCUGGGACACGUCGGACAGUGAGCCGAGCGAGGGCGAGCUGGAGAAGCGGCGUCGGACACUGCUGCAGCAGCUGGACGACGAUCAGUAGCCAGGUCUGCGGGACUGUCGCUGAGCUGGGGCUCCCUCAGCUCCCCACCCCUCUCCCCAGCCUGGGGAGAGGCUCCGGACAGCUCGAUGCGGGCGGGGGGCUCCUGAGAGAGCAGAGAGGGGGCCCCGCUCCACCCAGGACUCCUUCCCCCCAUCCCUGCGGAUCCCCCCCGCACCUGAGGACCCAUCGCCCCUGGGGCUGCUGUGACCACCUCUGCUUGGCUGGCCCCUCGGCGCUCAGAGGACCGGCCCCAGGACAGCGGCGCUUUGGAGGGGGUUCGAAUGCGGCUCUCACAGGUGGUUCUGUGGCUGCGCUGAGGAUCAUGGGUGCCUGGGGCGCCCUGCGGGGUUGGCUGCGGGGGCGUGUGCUGCUGAGUAGCCGGGACCCUCGGCCUGCUCGUACUCUGGGAAUUAAAG